rnacentral:rRNA from 1 species
AUUGAACGCUGGCGGCAGGCCUAACACAUGCAAGUCGAGCGGAUGAGAGGAGCUUGCUUCUCGAUUCAGCGGCGGACGGGUGAGUAAUGCCUAGGAAUCUGCCUGGUAGUGGGGGACAACGUUUCGAAAGGAACGCUAAUACCGCAUACGUCCUACGGGAGAAAGCAGGGGACCUUCGGGCCUUGCGCUAUCAGAUGAGCCUAGGUCGGAUUAGCUAGUUGGUGAGGUAAUGGCUCACCAAGGCGACGAUCCGUAACUGGUCUGAGAGGAUGAUCAGUCACACUGGACCUGAGACACGGUCCAGACUCCUACGGGAGGCAGCAGUGGGGAAUAUUGGACAAUGGGCGAAAGCCUGAUUCAGCCAUGCCGCGUGUGUGAAGGAGGUCUUCGGAUUGUAAAGCACUUUAAGUUGGGAGGAAGGGUUGUAGAUUAAUACUCUGCAAUUUUGACGUUACCGACAGAAUAAGCACCGGCUAACUCUGUGCCAGCCGCCGCCGUAA